GACGAACGCUGGCGGCGUGCUUAACACAUGCAAGUCGAACGAAGUGGCGAACGGGUGAGUAACGCGUAAUCAACCUGCCCUUAAGAGGGGGACAACCGUUGGAAACGACUGCUAAUACCGCAUACUGAAGGAGGGGAUUGCGUCGGAUUAGCUAGUUGGAGGGAUAACGGCCCACCAAGACGAUGAUAAGUAGCCGGUCUGAGAGGAUGAACGGCCGCAGUGGGACUGGUACACGGCCCAGACUCCUACGGGAGGCAGCAGUGGGGAAUGUUCCGCAAUGGACGAAAGUCUGACGGAGCAACGCCGCAGAGGUGAUGACGGCCUUCGGGUUGUAAAGCUCUGUUAAUCGGGACGCGGUACCGGAAUAGAAAGCCACGGCUAACUACGAGCCAGCCGCCGCGGUAAUAC
rnacentral:rRNA from 1 species